rnacentral:piRNA from 1 species
UACGCCCGCUUCUCACCCUACUUGUUUUC